GGCGUGGUAGCACAAUUGGUUAGUGCAUCAGGGUGCACCGUUAACGGACUGAGGGUCGCUGGUUCGAGUCCAGCCCACGCCACC
rnacentral:tRNA from 1 species